GAUGAACGCUAGCUACAGGCUUAACACAUGCAAGUCGAGGGGUAACGAGAGGGAAGCUUGCUUUCCUUGUCGACGACCGGCGCACGGGUGAGUAACGCGUAUCCAACCUGCCCCCAACUAGGGAAUAACCUUGCGAAAGUAAGACUAAUACCCUAUAAUUUCCUCAGAUGUCAUCUGACGAGGAAUAAAGAUUUAUCGGUUGUGGAUGGGGAUGCGUCUGAUUAGCUUGUUGGCGGGGUGACGGCCCACCAAGGCAACGAUCAGUAGGGGUUCUGAGAGGAAGGGCACCCACAUUGGAACUGAGACACGGUCCAAACUCCUACGGGAGGCAGCAGUGAGGAAUAUUGGUCAAUGGGCGGAAGCCUGAACCAGCCAAGUAGCGUGCAGGAUGACGGCCCUAUGGGUUGUAAACUGCUUUUAUACAGGAAUAAAGUUAGCCACGUGUGGUUAUUUGUAGGUACUGUAUGAAUAAGGACCGGCUAAUUCCGUGCCAGCCGCCGCGGUAA
rnacentral:rRNA from 1 species